rnacentral:rRNA from 1 species
GACAGAGGUGCCAAGCGUUAGGCGGAAUCACUGGGCUUAAAGCGUGUGUAGGCGGAUGUCUAAGUACCUUGUGAAAUCCCACGGCUCAACCGUGGAACUGCUUGGUAUACUGGAUGUCUUGAGCCAUCUAGGGGCUACCGGAACAAAUGGUGGAGCGGUGAAAUGCGUAGAUAUCAUUUGGAACGCCAAAGGUGAAAACAGGUUGCUGGGGAUGUGCUGACACUGAGACGCGAAAGCCAGGGGAGCGAACGGG